UUUGUACCUCAAAUAACUUUUUCCACAGACAACUUAGCACAUCGGCGUAGCAUAACUUUUGGUAGCUAAUGACCAGAUCUAUCCAAAUAUGUGCUACAAUUGAAGAUCCAUUGGAAACUGACCGAGUUAUAAGCAUCCAAAGUGGCAAAAUGAGGAAUUUUUUUGGAAAAGUUGAGAAAAUGUUAAGUCUUUGUACCUCGAAUAACUUUUUCCACAGACAACUUAGCACAUCGGCGUAGAAUAACUUUUGGUAGCUAAUGACCAGAUCUAUCCAAAUAUGUGCUACAAUUGAAGAUCCAUUGGAAACUGACGAGUUAUAAGCAUCCAAAGUGGCAAAAUGAGGAAUUUUUUUGGAAAAGUUGAGAAAAUGUUAAGUCUUUGUACCUCGAAUAACUUUUUCCACAGACAACUUAGCACAUCGGCGUAGAAUAACUUUUGGUAGCUAAUGACCAGAUCUAUUCAAAUAUGUGCUACAAUUGAAGAUCCAUGGAAACUGACCGAGUUAUAAGCAUCCAAAGUGGCAAAAUGAGGAAUUUUUUUAGAAAAAUUGAGAAAAUGUUAAGUCUUUGUACCUCAAAUAACUUUUUCCACAGACAACUUAGCACAUCGGCGUAGAAUAACUUUUGGUAGCUAAUAACCAGAUCUAUCCAAAUAUGUGCUACAAUUGAAGAUCCAUUGGAAACUGACCGAGUUAUAAGCAUCCAAAGUGGCAAAAUGAGGAAUUUUUUUAGAAAAAUUGAGAAAAUGUUAAGUCUUUGUACCUCGAAUAACUUUUUCCACAGACAACUUAGCACAUCGGCGUAGAAUAACUUUUGGUAGCUAAUGACCAGAUCUAUCCAAAUAUGUGCUACAAUUGAAGAUCCAUUGGAAACUGACCGAGUUAUAAGCAUCCAAAGUGGCAAAAUGAGGAAUUUUUUGGAAAAGUUGAGAAAAUGUUAAGUCUUUGUACCUCGAAUAACUUUUUCCACAGACAACUUAGCACAUCGGCGUAGAAUAACUUUUGGUAGCUAAUGACCAGAUCUAUCCAAAUAUGUGCUACAAUUGAAGAUCCAUUGGAAACUGACCGAGUUAUAAGCAUCCAAAGUGGCAAAAUGAGGAAUUUUUUUGGAAAAGUUGAGAAAAUGUUAAGUCUUUGUACCUCGAAUAACUUUUUCCACAGACAACUUAGCACAUCGGCGUAGAAUAACUUUUGGUAGCUAAUGACCAGAUCUAUCCAAAUAUGUGCUACAAUUGAAGAUCCAUUGGAAACUGACCGAGUUAUAAGCAUCCAAAGUGGCAAAAUGAGGAAUUUUUUUGGAAAAGUUGAGAAAAUGUUAAGUCUUUGUACCUCAAAUAACUUUUUCCACAGACAACUUAGCACAUCGGCGUAGAAUAACUUUUGGUAGCUAAUGACCAGAUCUAUCCAAAUAUGUGCUACAAUUGAAGAUCCAUUGGAAACUGACCGAGUUAUAAGCAUCCAAAGUGGCAAAAUGAGGAAUUUUUUUGGAAAAGUUGAGAAAAUGUUAAGUCUUUGUACCUCAAAUAACUUUUUCCACAGACAACUUAGCACAUCGGCGUAGAAUAACUUUUGGUAGCUAAUGACCAGAUCUAUCCAAAUAUGUGCUACAAUUGAAGAUCCAUUGGAAACUGACCGAGUUAUAAGCAUCCAAAGUGGCAAAAUGAGGAAUUUUUUUAGAAAAAUUGAGAAAAUGUUAAGUCUUUGUACCUCAAAUAACUUUUUCCACAGACAACUUAGCACAUCGGCGUAGAAUAACUUUUGGUAGCUAAUAACCAGAUCUAUCCAAAUAUGUGCUACAAUUGAAGAUCCAUUGGAAACUGACCGAGUUAUAAGCAUCCAAAGUGGCAAAAUGAGGAAUUUUUUGGAAAAGUUGAGAAAAUGUUAAGUCUUUGUACCUCGAAUAACUUUUUCCACAGACAACUUAGCACAUCGGCGUAGAAUAACUUUUGGUAGCUAAUGACCAGAUCUAUCCAAAUAUGUGCUACAAUUGAAGAUCCAUUGGAAACUGACCGAGUUAUAAGCAUCCAAAGUGGCAAAAUGAGGAAUUUUUUUGGAAAAGUUGAGAAAAUGUUAAGUCUUUGUACCUCGAAUAACUUUUUCCACAGACAACUUAGCACAUCGGCGUAGAAUAACUUUUGGUAGCUAAUGACCAGAUCUAUUCAAAUAUGUGCUACAAUUGAAGAUCCAUUGGAAACUGACCGAGUUAUAAGCAUCCAAAGUGGCAAAAUGAGGAAUUUUUUUAGAAAAAUUGAGAAAAUGUUAAGUCUUUGUACCUCAAAUAACUUUUUCCACAGACAACUUAGCACAUCGGCGUAGAAUAACUUUUGGUAGCUGAUGAGCAGAUCUUUCCAAAUCUGUGUUACAAUUGAAGAUCCAUCGGAAACUGACCGAGUUAUAAGCAUCCAAAGUGGCAAAAUGAGGAAUUUUUUAGGAAAAAUUGAGAAAAUUUUAAGUCUUUGUACCUCAAAUAACUUUUUCCACCGACAUCUGAGCAUAUCGGCAUGGAACAACUUAUAUUAGCCAAUGAGCUGAUCUAUCCAAAUCUGUGUUACAACUGAAGAUCCGUCGAAAACUGACCGAGUUAUGAGCAUGCAAAGUGGCAAAAUGAGGAAUUUUUUAGAAAAACCGAGAAAAUGUUAAGUCUUUGUAUCUCGAAUAACUUUUUCCACAGACAUUUGAGCAUAUCGGCAUGGAACAACUUAUGGUAGCCAAUGAGCUGAUCUAUCAAAAUCUGUGUUACAACUGAAGAUCCGUCGAAAACUGACCGAGUUAUGAGCAUGCAAAGUAUCAUAAUGAGAAUUUCUUUAGAAAAACCGAGAAAAUGUUAAGUCUUUGUAUCUCGAAUAACUUUUUCCACAGACAUCUGAGCAUAUCGGCAUGGAACAACUUAUGGUAGCCAAUGAGCUGAUCUAUCCAAAUCUGUGUUACAACUGAAGAUCCGUCGAAAACUGACCGAGUUAUGAGCAUGCAAAGUAUCAUAAUGAGAAUUUCUUUAGAAAAACCGAGAAAAUGUUAAGUCUUUGUAUCUCGAAUAACUUUUUCCACAGACAUCUGAGCAUAUCGGCAUGGAACAACUUAUGGUAGCCAAUGAGCUGAUCUAUCCAAAUCUGUGAUACAACUGAAGAUCCGUCGAAAACUGACCGAGUUAUGAGCAUGCAAAGUGGCAAAAUGAGGAAUUUUUUAGAAAAACCGAGAAAAUGUUAAGUCUUUGUAUCUCGAAUAACUUUUUCCACAAACAUUUGAGCAUAUCGGCAUGGAACAACUUAUGGUAGACAAUGAGCAGAUCUAUCCAAAUCUGUGUUACAAUUGAAGAUCCGUCGAAAACUGACCGAGUUAUGAGCAUGCAAAGUAGCAAAAUGAGGAAUUUUUUAGAAAAACCGAGAAAAUGUUAAGUCUUUGUAUCUCGAAUAACUUUUUCCACAGACAUCUGAGCAUAUCGGCAUGGAACAACUUAUGGUAGCCAAUGAGCUGAUCUAUCCAAAUCUGUGAUACAACUGAAGAUCCGUCGAAAACUGACCGAGUUAUGAGCAUGCAAAGUGGCAAAAUGAGGAAUUUUUUAGAAAAACCGAGAAAAUGUUAAGUCUUUGUAUCUCGAAUAACUUUUUCCACAAACAUUUGAGCAUAUCGACAUGGAACAACUUAUGGUAGACAAUGAGCAGAUCUAUCCAAAUCUGUGUUACAAUUGAAGAUCCGUCGAAAACUGACCGAGUUAUGAGCAUGCAAAGUAGCAAAAUGAGGAAUUUUUUAGAAAAACCGAGAAAAUGUUAAGUCUUUGUAUCUCGAAUAACUUUUUCCACAGACAUCUGAGCAUAUCGGCAUGGAACAACUUAUGGUAGCCAAUGAGCUGAUCUAUCCAAAUCUGUGUUACAACUGAAGAUCCGUCGAAAACUGACCGAGUUAUGAGCAUGCAAAGUAUCAUAAUGAGAAUUUCUUUAGAAAAACCGAGAAAAUGUUAAGUCUUUGUAUCUCGAAUAACUUUUUCCACAGACAUCUGAGCAUAUCGGCAUGGAACAACUUAUGGUAGCCAAUGAGCUGAUCUAUCCAAAUCUGUGAUACAACUGAAGAUCCGUCGAAAACUGACCGAGUUAUGAGCAUGCAAAGUGGCAAAAUGAGGAAUUUUUUAGAAAAACCGAGAAAAUGUUAAGUCUUUGUAUCUCGAAUAACUUUUUCCACAAACAUUUGAGCAUAUCGGCAUGGAACAACUUAUGGUAGACAAUGAGCAGAUCUAUCCAAAUCUGUGUUACAACUGAAGAUACGUCGAAAACUGACCGAGUUAUGAGCAUGCAAAGUGGCAAAAUGAGGAAUUUUUUAGAAAAACCGAGAAAAUGUUAAGUCUUUGUAUCUCGAAUAACUUUUUCCACAGACAUCUGAGCAUAUCGGCAUGAAACAACUUAUGGUAGCCAAUGAGCAGAUCUAUCCAAAUCUGUGUUACAACUGAAGAUCCGUCGAAAACUGAUCGAGUUAUGAGCAUGCAAAUUGGCAAAAUGAGGAAUUUUUUAGAAAAACCGAGAAAAUGUUAAGUCUCUGUAUCUCGAAUAACUUUUUCCACAGACAUCUGAGCAUAUCGGCAUGAAACAACUUAUGGUAGCCAAUGAGCAGAUCUAUCCAAAUCUGUGUUACAAUUGAAGAUCCGUCGAAAACUGACCGAGUUAUGAGCAUGCAAAGUAGCAAAAUGAGGAAUUUUUUUAGAAAAAUUGAGAAAAUGUUAAGUCUUUGUAUCUCGAAUAACUUUUUCCACAGACAUCUGAGCAUAUCGGCAUGGAACAACUUAUGGUAGCCAAUGAGCUGAUCUAUCAAAAUCUGUGUUACAACUGAAGAUACGUCGAAAACUGACCGAGUUAUGAGCAUGCAAAGUGGCAAAAUGAGGAAUUUUUUAGAAAAACCGAGAAAAUGUUAAGUCUUUGUAUCUCGAAUAACUUUUUCCACAGACAUCUGAGCACAUCGACGUGAAACAACUUAUGGUAGUCAAUGAGCAGAUCUAUCCAAAUCUGUGUUACAAUUGAAGAUCCGUCGAAAACUGACCGAGUUAUGAGCAUGCAAAGUGGCAAAAUGAGGAAUUUUUUAGAAAAACCGAGAAAAUGUUAAGUCUUUGUAUCUCGAAUAACUUUUUCCACAGACAUCUGAGCAUAUCGGCAUGGAACAACUUAUGGUAGCCAAUGAGCUGAUCUAUCAAAAUCUGUGUUACAACUGAAGAUACGUCGAAAACUGACCGAGUUAUGAGCAUGCAAAGUGGCAAAAUGAGGAAUUUUUUAGAAAAACCGAGAAAAUGUUAAGUCUUUGUAUCUCGAAUAACUUUUUCCACAGACAUCUGAGCACAUCGACGUGAAACAACUUAUGGUAGUCAAUGAGCAGAUCUAUCCAAAUCUAUGUUACAAUUGAAGAUCCGUCGAAAACUGACCGAGUUAUGAGCAUGCAAAGUAGCAAAAUGAGGAAUUUUUUAGAAAACCGAGAAAAUGUUAAGUCUUUGUAUCUCGAAUAACUUUUUCCACAGACAUCUGAGCAUAUCGGCAUGGAACAACUUAUGGUAGCCAAUGAGCUGAUCUAUCAAAAUCUGUGUUACAACUGAAGAUCCGUCGAAAACUGACCGAGUUAUGAGCAUGCAAAGUGGCAAAAUGAGGAAUUUUUUAGAAAAACCGAGAAAAUGUUAAGUCUUUGUAUCUCGAAUAACUUUUUCCACAGACAUCUGAGCCAAACGACAUGGAACAACUUAUGGUAGCCAAUGAGCAGAUCUAUCAAAAUCUGUGUUACAACUGAAGAUACGUCGAAAACUGACCAAUUUAUGAGCAUGCAAAGUGGCAAAAUGAGGAAUUUUUUAGAAAAACCGAGAAAAUGUUAAGUCUUUGUAUCUCGAAUAACUUUUUCCACAGACAUCUGAGCAUAUCGGCAUGGAACAACUUAUGGUAGCCAAUGAGCUGAUCUAUCCAAAUCUGUGUUACAACUGAAGAUCCGUCGAAAACUGACCGAGUUAUGAGCAUGCAAAGUGGCAAAAUGAGGAAUUUUUUAGAAAAACCGAGAAAAUGUUAAGUCUUUGUAUCUCGAAUAACUUUUUCCACAGACAUCUGAGCAUAUCGGCAUGGAACAACUUAUGGUAGCCAAUGAGCUGAUCUAUCAAAAUCUGUGUUACAACUGAAGAUACGUCGAAAACUGACCGAGUUAUGAGCAUGCAAAGUGGCAAAAUGAGGAAUUUUUUAGAAAAACCGAGAAAAUGUUAAGUCUUUGUAUCUCGAAUAACUUUUUCCACAGACAUCUGAGCACAUCGACGUGAAACAACUUAUGGUAGUCAAUGAGCAGAUCUAUCCAAAUCUGUGUUACAAUUGAAGAUCCGUCGAAAACUGACCGAGUUAUGAGCAUGCAAAGUAGCAAAAUGAGGAAUUUUUUAGAAAAACCGAGAAAAUGUUAAGUCUUUGUAUCUCGAAUAACUUUUUCCACAGACAUCUGAGCAUAUCGGCAUGGAACAACUUAUGGUAGCCAAUGAGCUGAUCUAUCAAAAUCUGUGUUACAACUGAAGAUCCGUCGAAAACUGACCGAGUUAUGAGCAGGCAAAGUGGCAAAAUGAGGAAUUUUUUAGAAAAACCGAGAAAAUGUUAAGUCUUUGUAUCUCGAAUAACUUUUUCCACAGACAUCUGAGCAUAUCGGCAUAAAACAACUUAUGGUAGCCAAUGAGCUGAUCUAUCAAAAUCUGUGUUACAACUGAAGAUCCGUCGAAAACUGACCGAGUUAUGAGCAUGCAAAGUGGCAAAAUGAGGAAUUUUUUAGAAAAACCGAGAAAAUGUUAAGUCUUUGUAUCUCGAAUAACUUUUUCCACAGACAUCUGAGCCAAACGACGUGGAACAACUUAUGGUAGCCAAUGAGCAGAUCUAUCAAAAUCUGUGUUACAACUGAAGAUACGUCGAAAACUGACCGAGUUAUGAGCAUGCAAAGUGGCAAAAUGAGGAAUUUUUUAGAAAAACCGAGAAAAUGUUAAGUCUUUGUAUCUCGAAUAACUUUUUCCACAGACAUCUGAGCACAUCGACGUGAAACAACUUAUGGUAGUCAAUGAGCAGAUCUAUCCAAAUCUGUGUUACAAUUGAAGAUCCGUCGAAAACUGACCGAGUUAUGAGCAUGCAAAGUAGCAAAAUGAGGAAUUUUUUAGAAAAACCGAGAAAAUGUUAAGUCUUUGUAUCUCGAAUAACUUUUUCCACAGACAUCUGAGCAUAUCGGCAUGGAACAACUUAUGGUAGCCAAUGAGCUGAUCUAUCAAAAUCUGUGUUACAACUGAAGAUCCGUCGAAAACUGACCGAGUUAUGAGCAUGCAAAGUGGCAAAAUGAGGAAUUUUUUAGAAAAACCGAGAAAAUGUUAAGUCUUUGUAUCUCGAAUAACUUUUUCCACAGACAUCUGAGCAUAUCGGCAUGGAACAACUUAUGGUAGCCAAUGAGCUGAUCUAUCAAAAUCUGUGUUACAACUGAAGAUCCGUCGAAAACUGACCGAGUUAUGAGCAUGCAAAGUAGCAAAAUGAGGAAUUUUUAAGAAAAACCGAGAAAAUGUUAAGUCUUUCUAUCUCGAAUAACUUUUUCCACAGACAUCUGAGCCAAACGAUGUGAAACAACUUAUGGUAGCCAAUGAGCAGAUCUAUCCAAAUCUGUGUUACAAUUGAAGAUCCGUCGAAAACUGACCGAGUUAUGAGCAUGCAAAGUGGCAAAAUGAGGAAUUUUUUAGAAAAACCGAGAAAAUGUUAAGUCUUUCUAUCUCGAAUAACUUUUUCCACAGACAUCUGAGCCAAACGAUGUGAAACAACUUAUGGUAGCCAAUGAGCAGAUCUAUCCAAAUCUGUGUUACAAUUGAAGAUCCGUCGAAAACUGACCGAGUUAUGAGCAUGCAAAGUAGCAAAAUGAGGAAUUUUUAAGAAAAACCGAGAAAAUGUUAAGUCUUUCUAUCGCGAAUAACUUUUUCCACAGACAUCUGAGCCAAACGACGUGAAAAAACUUAUGGUAGCCAAUGAGCAGAUCUAUCCAAAUCUGUGCUACAAUUGAAGAUCCGUCGAAAACUGACCGAGUUAUGAGCAUGCAAAGUAGCAAAAUAAGGAUUUUUUUUGAAAAACCGAGAAAAUGUUUAGUCUUUGUAUCUCGAAUAACUUUUUCCACAGACAUCUGAGCCAAACGACGUGGAACAACUUAUGGUAGCCAAUGAGCAGAUCUAUCCAAAUCUGUGCUACAAUUGAAGAUCCGUCGAAAACUGACCGAGUUAUGAGCAUGCAAAGUAGCAAAAUAAGGAUUUUUUUAGAAAAACCGAGAAAAUGUUAAGUCUUUGUAUCUCGAAUAACUUUUUCCACAGACAUCUGAGCAUAUCGACAUGGAACAACUUAUGGUAGCCAAUGAGCUGAUCUAUUCAAAUCUGUGUUACAACUGAAGAUCCGUCGAAAACUGACCGAGUUAUGAGCAUGCAAAGUGGCAAAAUAAGGAAUUUUUUAGAAAAACCGAGAAAAUGUUAAGUCUUUGUACCUCGA